rnacentral:rRNA from 1 species
AACGAACGCUGGCGGCAUGCCUAACACAUGCCAGUCGAACGAGACCUUCGGGUCUAGUGGCGCACGGGUGCGUAACGCGUGGGAAUCUGCCCUUGGGUUCGGAAUAACAGUUGGAAACGACUGCUAAUACCGGAUGAUGACGUAAGUCCAAAGAUUUAUCGCCCAGGGAUGAGCCCGCGUAGGAUUAGCUAGUUGGUGGGGUAAAGGCCUACCAAGGCGUCGAUCCUUAGCUGGUCUGAGAGGAUGAUCAGCCACACUGGGACUGAGACACGGCCCAGACUCCUACGGGAGGCAGCAGUGGGGAAUAUUGGACAAUGGGCGAAAGCCUGAUCCAGCAAUGCCGCGUGAGUGAUGAAGGCCUUAGGGUUGUAAAGCUCUUUUACCCGGGAUGAUAAUGACAGUACCGGGAGAAUAAGCCCCGGCUAACUCCGUG